rnacentral:rRNA from 1 species
GACGAACCGUGCGAACGUUGUUCGGAAUCACUGGGCUUAAAGGGCUCGUAGGCGGCCAACUAAGUCCGACGUGAAAUCCCCAGGCUUAACCUGGGAACUGCGUCGGAUACUGGUUGGCUUGAAUCCGGGAGAGGGAUGCGGAAUUCCAGGUGUAGCGGUGAAAUGCGUAGAUAUCUGGAGGAACACCGGUGGCGAAGGCGGCAUCCUGGACCGGCAUUGACGCUGAACAGCGAAAGCCAGGGGAGCAAACGGG